rnacentral:piRNA from 1 species
UAUCUAUCAGAGUCACCUGAAAACUUGCC